rnacentral:rRNA from 1 species
GACGAACGCUGGCGGCGUGCUUAACACAUGCAAGUCGAACGGAAAGGCCCUGCUUUUGUGGGGUGCUCGAGUGGCGAACGGGUGAGUAACACGUGAGUAACCUGCCCUUGACUUUGGGAUAACUUCAGGAAACUGGGGCUAAUACCGGAUAGGAGCUCCUGCUGCAUGGUGGGGGUUGGAAAGUUUCGGCGGUUGGGGAUGGACUCGCGGCUUAUCAGCUUGUUGGUGGGGUAGUGGCUUACCAAGGCUUUGACGGGUAGCCGGCCUGGGAGGGUGACAGGCCACAUUGUGACUGAGAUACGGCCAAGACUCAUUCGGGAGGAAGCAGUGGGGAAUAUUGCACAAUGGGCGGAAGCCUGAUGCAGCAACGCCGCGUGCGAGAUGACGGCUUUCGGGUUGUAAACCGCUUUCGCCUGUGACGAAGCGUGAGUGACGGUAAUAGGUAAAGAAGCACCGGCAAACUACGU